rnacentral:rRNA from 1 species
UACGUAGGGUGCAGGCGUUAAUCGGAAUUACUGGGCGUAAAGCGUGCGCAGGCGGUCUUUUAAGUCAGAUGUGAAAUCCCCGGGCUUAACCUGGGAACUGCGUUUGAAACUGAAAGGCUAGAGUGUGGCAGAGGGGGGUGGAAUUCCGCGUGUAGCAGUGAAAUGCGUAGAUAUGCGGAGGAACACCGAUGGCGAAGGCAAUCCCCUGGGCCUGCACUGACGCUCAUGCACGAAAGCGUGGGGAGCAAACAGG